CACAAUUGUAAACCCUAUGGAGUGAGAGAGAGAGAAAGGAGAGGAAAAGGAAGUCAUUGUCAAUAGCUGUAAGGAGGAGCAAAACCUACCAUUAAAUACUCCCUCUAUGGCACAGUAGUGAAAGAAAAGAGACAUUGAGCUGCGCACAGGCAUUCAUUCAUAUGGAUCAGUGUGGAGAUAAAGAGGAUCACGAGGGUCUCCCUUUAAUUACUCCAAACAUGCAUGGCUUGUUCCCCUUUUUGUUAAUUUCUAUGUAUCAAGAUGUUGGUACCCUCUCUCAGGAUUUGCUUCAAUGAAAGGGGUUCAUCACUUUUUUCAUCACAAGUAUGUUGGUUUGAGAGGUUGAAGCUGCCAGCAUGAUCUGGUAAAUCACAUACUUUUUUUUUUCUCACCUCUCAUGCCUAAUUUUUAAGCACCAGUCAUUAGAGAAAAUAAUGGUGAAAAAUCCAUCUAUUCAAUUUUUUUUUCAAAUUCAAGGUUUCCAGUAUGUAUCACUAAUGGUGAAAAAAGUGAUGGAAUUUUGUAGAACAUGGGUUAAAUUUACUUUUUUUUUUUUGAGUUUUCAUUUUCUUCAAGUUUCUGAGCCAAGAAAUAAAAGAGACUUAUAAAUUGGAAUUAAUACUUAAAGGAAACCCACCAGAAGGGCAAUUUGGUUAUCAUAAGAUGUGGUUUCCAUCAGGUCAUCUUGCAGCUUCAAUCACUCAAUAACCAACAGAUUAGUUUCUCAACUCAUGAAUUCCGGUACUGUUCAACUACAAUCUCAAUUUCAAUUUCAGUAUACUCCUCGAUCCCUAGCUAGUUCUGGUUCUCCUUGGAGCAGUUCAAUGGUUAGAUGGACCUCCACCUUUUUGUAUUCAUUCUUCUAUGGGUGAGGUAAUAAGUAUUAAUUUGCUUUGUAUAUAAUUUGAGUUUCAACGUUCCUUAAUUUGGAGUGAUAAAUGUUAUCAUAAAAUCAUAGUGAAAAUUGCUUAUAAGCUUCUUAGAGUUCUUUAUAAUUUAUUUUAAUAAAUUCCAUAAAAAUUAUCAAAAUAAGCUCUUUUUUAUAAAUAAAACUUCUCAAUUAAGCUUGUGAAUGAUCUCUUAUAAUAAGUGAUUAUCAACAAAUGUUUAAUUAAACAGUUUAUCCUAAUACACUUAUAUGCUAGCACAUUUGUUUUAAGUUUAGUGAGUCAAAUUUCUGAAUUCAUAUGAUUUGGGGCAGUUCGAGUUUUCCAUGUAAACUGUCACCAUGCGACAUGGCAAAAUCACUUUCAAUCAAGUUAUGUGCCUUCAUGUUGGAACUUUCAUUUUGCAGGCACACAUCCAAAUUUUGAAUAACAAUUUUGGUGACAUUUUGGGUUAUAAUUCACAAAUAUAUAUCCAUACACAAUAUAUACAAACAAUUUAAACAAAUUAAAUCUCAUAAAUCACAAAGAAAUGAAUAAAUUAAAGCUAAUAAAAAUCAAGAUUAAUACAAUAAAUUUCAAACAAAUAAAUUAUAUAAAGUUAACAACCAUAAAAUUAAUAAUAAGCACAAAAGAUGAAACGAAAUUAACCUCAAUUUCUUGCAUUUUAAUUCCUUCAAACCUGUUGUCAUCUCAUGAAAAUCAAUUGUUUGGAUUCGCUAACUGUUUGAUUACAAAAUAAUGUCAAGCAAUUGGUACCGAGAAGGGAGAUUUAUUUCUCAAUAAUGGGUUCUUCUAGAAAGCAUUUGAUAUAGAUAAAUAAAAAAGAAAGAGAGAAGAUAAGAUUUUGCGUAAAACAUAAAGAUAGAAAAGUUAUAUAAAAAAAAAAGCAAUAAAAGAAAGACUAUAAGUAAAAGUUUUAAAUGAAAAUAAUAAAUGACAGAAAUUAUAAAGAAAAAUAAAUGUAAGAUAAAAUAAACUUGUAUUUUUAAUUGAUGGUGUUAUUAAAUUUAAAGUAUAAGGUCUAUUUAAAACAUGGUUUGGGAGUUAUUCCCUUGAUUUUGCGCUCAAUCGGUUGACAAUUGUUGAAAAUCGAUGGACAGUUGUAGAUAAUUGACGGAUAAUUGCUGAGAAUCCACUGACAGUUGCAGAUUGUACCUAAUCCACCUUCUGCUAACCUCUCAUACAUUCUAGGCACAUUUCCCUCUUCAACAAACUAACAUAUUUGCAUUUUAAAUUUUAAACAAACUAGAAACUGAUUCUUAUUUUGAAGGGAGUAAUAUCAUUAUCCAGUUUUAUCUGCCACGAGCCAUGUAAAUAUAAAAAAUCAUAAGAAAUAUUAUUUUAUUUUUAUUAAAUUAAAUAUAAUUUAAUUCAACUGAUUUUAUGAUGUUUCCAGAUUGUUGAUUCACCAAUCUACCGAUUUCUGUCAUUUCGGCAAACGGUGUAAGCAAUCAAUUUGAUCUUAUCAUCACUCAGUUAGCCUUUUUGUUCUAAUACUGAACAAUAGUCCGUCGCACAUUUGACUAGGCUGGCCUUGUCCUCAAUCAGCUAGCACUAAUUUCAGCCAAAUUUCAAUCAAUCGGCAUCAAUUUCAUUUUAAGAAAUUAUUUUUAUUUCUAUUAAAAUACCAAAAUAAUCAAAUCUCUUAUAAAAGAGAAAUUCUUGGGCUCUAAGCCCGUUUUGACAUCGUUUUUUUUAUUAAAGAUAAAUUCAUAUAAGGUUUAGAAUGUCUUUUGUGAAGAUUUCUUCUCUAGAAUCUCUCAGCAAAUUCUUUUUAUUUUUAUUUUCCUCUUUGCCUCUCUUAAAAAUAAGAAAUAUUUUGCAGUAAGUUACCAAUUUACACCCAAAAUUUAGGACAGAAAACUCAGUCUUAUCUUUUACUUUAAUGGAUUACUUUAAGGGGUAUUACUGUAACUUAAGAUUCAUUCUUUGUAUCUCUCACUCUGUGUCAGUGAACAUGAAUGGAGGACAAAAUGAAGAAGUUCGUGAAAUGAAGGAAGGAAAAAAUGUAGAAUAUGAAUUUUUUAGUGUCACGCGACUUUUUAAUUGAAUAAAUCCAGAUUAACGAUCCAGAUUAGGAGUAACAAUUUAAAGUUACUCCUGGACUACUUGGAUCUCCUCCCCCCACACACACAUAUUUAUAUUAAGUAAGACUUGAACCCACAUCCUUGUGGGAUAUAAGUUUUUUUCUUAUUAAUUGAACCAACUCUAUUGGUAUUUGCUUUAUUAUUUUAGAGCUAGUAGUUUGAGUACAUGAAAAUGAAAUUUUGGGUUCCUAUUUCUUCGGAGGUAAUUUUAUUGGGAUAAUUGUGUAUGACCAAGACUCAAUCCAUUAUAUGUAACUAAUUACGAUUCUAAUAAUAAAGUAUUAUUAGAGUUUCAAUAUCA